rnacentral:rRNA from 1 species
AACGAACGCUGGCGGCAUGCCUAACACAUGCAAGUCGAACGAGACCUUCGGGUCUAUUUGCGCACGGGUGCGUAACGCGUGGGAACCUGCCCUUAGGUUCGGAAUCCCUCCCCGAGAGAUGUGCUAAUACCAGAUAAUGUCUUCCGACCUAAGAUUUAUCGCCUUUGGAUGGGCCCGCGUUGGAUUCGCUAGUUGGUAGUGUAAAAGCCUACCAAGGCGACGAUGCAUAGCUGGUCUGAGAGGAUGCUCAGCCACAAUGGGAAUGAGACACAGCCCAGACUCCUACGGGAGGCAGCAGUGGGGAAUAUUGGACGAUGGGCGAAGGCGCGAUCCAGCAAUGCGGCGUGAGUGAUGAAGGGGGUAGGGUUGUAAAGCUCUUUUACCCGGGAUGAUAAUGACAGUACCGGGAGAAUAAGCACCGGCUAACUCCGUG